UGUGUAGGCGGGCAGAUAAGUCAGACGUGAAAUCUAAAGCUUAACUUUGGACCUGCGUUUGAAACUAUUCGUCUUGAGUACGGGAGAGGAAAGUGGAAUUCCUGGUGUAGCGGUGAAAUGCGUAGAUAUCAGGAGGAACACCGGUGGCGAAGGCGGCUUUCUAGCCCGAUACUGACGCUGAGACACGAAGGCUAGGGGAGCAAACAGGAUUAGAUACCCUGGUAGUCCUAGCGGUAAACGUUGGGCACUAGGUGUUGUCCCUUAACCGGGGCAGUGCCGCAGCUAACGCAUUAAGUGCCCCGCCUGGGGAGUACGACCGCAAGGUUGAA
rnacentral:rRNA from 1 species